UGAGGAAAAGGGCGGUGUCUUGCUCAAGCCGGGCAAUAACGCGACACGAAAUACAGCCUACGCGCGUGCAUUGGAAGGAGCCUCUCCCCCUCUUUCUGGCAGCAGGAUGGACAAGGCAAAGACGCUGGAGAUGCUGCGAGGCAUGAAGUUCAUGCAGCGCAAGGAGGAGGCGAAGCGGCGCGCCGCCUUUGAGGUCGCCCAGCGGGACGAAAUUGAGCGGCAGCUGCUACACUCCGGCACCGGCAGCAGCGGCGCGAGCGGGGGCGUCAGUGACGGUGGCUCCUCUGCGCUCAGAGAUCGUGGCUGUGAUGGACCAUUCAGGGCAACCGUCUUGUACGACGAUUCCUUUCCCACGCACGCGUAUAGCCUGUCGCGGCGCAGCUUUACCAAGACGCUCGGCGGUGGUGAUGCGAUCCCGAUUGCCGCGGGCCUCGGCGACAGGGACGCACAUCUGGAAGGUGGCGCCGUGGAAUCGAGGAUGUCGCUGAAGGACGUCAGCGAGGCGCCAACGUCAGCGGACGCCGCUAUGGACGAUGGUGACGUCGCCAGUGGCGAAGAAGUGGCAGACUUGUGGGGCGGUGAGGGCGCCGAAGGUGAGGUGAAUGAUCCGACGGCGGCCUCUGACAGACGACAUCAGGGUGGUGAGAAGACUGGCGCCCGCCGAGGCGACCGGAACCAGAACGCCUGUAGCGAUGGCAGGUUCAUAGUGAAGCCGUCGCAGCGCGCCCCGAAGCUGCCGCGGCGCCUGCAGGAGAGCGUCGAGGAACAGAAGCAGCAGCAGAAGCGGCGGCGCGCGGAAGAAGAGGGCGACAUGGGCAUGUGAAUGCGCCCUCCGCGACACUCGGGCAUGUUUCGCCGCGGUUCCUGCAACCCACAUGCACAGGCGCGGUCAUAUUUCUGGUGAAGCUUAGUGGUGCAUGUGUGUGUGCGCGCGUGUGUGUGUCUACCUGUGAAGUGUGUGCCGUUGUUGUUGCUUAAGCGAGUAAGGGCGAGGAGGGCACACGCGCACGCGCACGCGUCUGGGCCUUUUCUCGGUAGAGAGAGCGAAGCGCAGUGGAAAAAGG
rnacentral:misc_RNA from 1 species